rnacentral:rRNA from 1 species
CACACCGUAAACGAUGAACACUAGAUGCUGGGAAGUUUGUUUCUCGGUGUCGCCGCUAACGCAAUAAGUGUUCCGCCUGGGGAGUACGCUCGCAAGGGUGAAACUCAAAGGAAUUGACGGGGGCCCGCACAAGCGGUGGAGCAUGUGGUUUAAUUCGAUGCAACGCGCAGAACCUUACCUGGACUUGACAUGGGGGUGACCGGACGAGAGAUCGUCCUUUCUCUUCGGAGACACCCCGCACAGGUGC